rnacentral:rRNA from 1 species
GUGUCAGCCGCCGCGGUAAUACGUAGGUGGCAAGCGUUGUCCGGAUUUAUUGGGUUUAAAGGGUGCGUAGGCGGUUGAUUAAGUCAGUUGUGAAAUACGGCAGCUUAACUGUCGAGGUGCAAUUGAUACUGGUUGACUUGAGUACAGACGAGGUAGGCGGAAUUGACGGUGUAGCGGUGAAAUGCAUAGAUAUCGUCAAGAACACCGAUAGCGAAGGCAGCUUACUAGACUGUAACUGACGCUGAGGCACGAAAGUGUGGGGAUCAAACAGGAUUAGAUACCCUGGUAGUCCACACUGUAAACGAUGAUUACUCGAUGUUGGCGAUACACAGCCAGCGUCUUAGCAAAAGCGAUAAGUAAUCCACCUGGGGAGUACGCCCGCAAGGGUGAA